rnacentral:rRNA from 1 species
AUGAGUCUUAUAUCACAUCGUGUACUUAGUGCUCAGAUUGUCAAAGCAAAGAAGGAUCAACGUCACAACCUCUUCCACAUCAAAGGAGUCGUCAAGGAGCGUUCCGUUCGCAUAAUCAUUGAUGGAGGGAGUUGUAACAAUUUAGCAAGCAUUGACAUGGUGGAGAAGCUCUCCCUACCUUCGCGACAACAUCCGCAACCGUACUACAUUCAAUGGUUUAAUGAUGGUGGAAAGGUAAAGGUAACACGCAUGGUGAGAGUUCCUUUUUCUUUAGAUUCAUACCAUGACACUAUUGAUUGCGAUAUUGUGCCUAUGCAAGCUUGUUCUAUGUUACUAGGAAGGCCAUGGCAAUAUGAUAAACAAUGUUUACAUGAUAGUAGAACUAAUCAGUACACUCUCACACAUAAAGGAAAGAAAAUCAUUCUACACCCUAUGUCUCCUGAGCAAAUUUUAAAAGAUGAUCUUGCUAGGGCUAGUAGAAACACAAAUAUUCAGCGUACUAAAUCUGAAAAUCAGAAAGUUGUUGAUGAGUUAGAACAAUUUAAUAAGAUGCACAAAUCUGAUCCUAGCACAUCUAAAGAAAUUAAAUUGAAAGGUGCUUCUUUCUUAGCUACACGUGCUGAAAUUUUUGAGUUAGAUGCUCAAAUUGAUGAAUGUUAUGCUCUUAUCUGCAAAGAAGUUUUGUUUUCAUUUGAGGAUAUGCCUUCUUCUUUGCCUCCUGUUGUCGCUAACCUUUUGCAGGAGUAUCAUGAUGUUUUUCCAAAGGAAGUACCACCGGGGCUGCCACCUAUGAGAGGAAUUGAACACCAAAUUGACUUGAUACCCGGCGCCUCACUACCCAACCGUGCACCGUACCGGACUAAUCCCAAGGAGACUAAGGAGAUUCAGCGACAAGUUCAAGAACUACUCGAAAAAGGUUACAUUCGCGAAUCCCUUAGUCCAUGUGCUGUACCAAUUUUACUAGUUCCUAAAAAAGAUGGUACUUCGCGUAUGUGUGUUGAUUGUAGAGCCAUUAAUAAUAUUACAAUUCGAUAUCGUCAUUCUAUUCCUAGAUUAGAUGACAUGCUUGAUAAACUCAGUGGCUCAGUUGUGUUUUCUAAAGUGGACUUGCGUAGUGGAUACCAUCAAAUUCUUAUGAAACUAGGUGAUGAAUGGAAAACUGCUUUCAAAACUAAAUUUGGUUUAUAUGAGUGGUUAGUUAUGCCUUUUGGAUUGACUAAUGCACCUAGUACUUUCAUGAGACUAAUGAAUGAAGUUUUGCGAGCUUUCAUUGGACGCUUUGUGGUAGUAUAUUUUGAUGAUAUUUUGAUUUAUAGCAAGUCACUAGAGGAACACUUAGACCAUUUGCGUGCUGUUUUUUCUGCUCUGCGUGAUGCACGUUUAUUUGGUAAUAUCAAGAAGUGCACUUUUUGCACGGAUCGAGUCGCUUUUCUUGGCUAUGUUGUGAUAGCGCGGGGAAUUGAAGUUGAUAAAGCCAAGGUUGAAGCGAUCCAGAGUUGGCCGACCCCUAACUCGGUCACACAGGUACGAAGUUUUCUUGGACUUGCUGGGUUCUACCGGCGGUUCGUGAAAGAUUUUAGUACCAUCGCAGCGCCGCUCAACGAGCUCACAAAGAAAAAUGUGCCAUUUGUUUGGAGCGACGCACAAGAGAAAGCCUUCACUAUUCUUAAAGAUAAGCAUACACACGCUCCUUUGCUGCAAUUACCUGAUUUUAAUAAGAUGUUUGAAUUAGAAUGUGAUGCUAGCGGCAUUGGUUUAGGUGGUGUUUUCUUGCAAGAAGGAAAACCAGUAGCAUACUUUAGUGAAAAGCUCAGUGGGCCUAGUCUGAAUUAUUCAACGUAUGAUAAAGAACUUUAUGCACUAGUUCGGACUUUGGAGACAUGGCAACAUUAUUUAUGGCCUAAGGAGUUUGUCAUACAUUUUGAUCAUGAAUCACUCAAGCAUAUUAGAAGUCAAAGCAAACUGAAUCGUAGACAUGCAAAAUGGGUUGAAUUUAUUGAAUCCUUUCCUUAUGUUAUUAAACACAAGAAAGGGAAGGAGAAUGUUAUUGCCGAUGCCUUGUCUAGAUGCUAUACUAUGUUAUCACAACUUGACUUCAAAAUUUUUGGACUUGAAACUAUAAAAGAGCAAUACGCUAAUGAUGUUGACUUUAAAGAUAUAUUGCUCAAUUGCAGAGAGGGUAGAACUUGGAACAAGUUCGUCAUUAAUGACGGAUUUGUUUUUCGCGCUAACAAGCUAUGCAUUCCAGAUAGCUCUAUUCGUCUUUUGUUGUUACAGGAGGCGCAUGGAGGAGGACUUAUGGGAUAUUUUGGCAUCAAGAAGACAGAAGACAUCCUUGCUAGUCAUUUCUUCUGGCCAAAAAUGAGAAGGGAUGUGGAGAGAUAUGUUGCACGCUGCACGACGUGCCAAAAAGCUAAGUCACGAUUGAACCCACAUGGUUUAUAUAUGCCUCUUCCUGUUCGUAGCACUCCUUGGGAAGAUAUAUCUAUGGACUUUGUAUUAGGACUGCCUAGAACACGACGGGGGAGAGAUAGUAUAUUUGUUGUUGUCGAUAGAUUCUCUAAGAUGGCACAUUUUAUACCUGUCAUAAAAGUGACGAUGCUACUCACAUUGCUGAUUUGUUCUUUCGUGAAGUAG